rnacentral:sRNA from 1 species
AGUGGGAGGGGUGGGGGUGAGGGGAAAGGCGAGAGGUUUAGUGUGUGGAGCUGCCUGCGCUCCGCCCGGGCUGUCAGUCCCGGCUCCAGCCGCCGCGAGACCUUCCCGGAGACGCGCGCACACACAGCGCACCCCCUGCACACCGCACACCCUCGCUCCCUUGCUCACACACACGCACACACUCAGCCUGGCCGAGCAGGAGCCACUGACCAUUUUGCAAGUGCCAGGACCAGCUACAGCGCAGUGGGCGCAAACAUCCCGCUUUCCCUUUCCGGGCUUUAGUCUGGGAGACGACGACGAGGGAAGAAGAAACCAGAGGAGUCUUGUCUGGGGGUCCCAUCAUUAUUCGGGAUACCCGCCGCCAGCGGCCUGCCUUCGGUUACCCACAUCCCCUGGAACGGAUAUCUGUUUGGGGCACUACAAUCUAUCCUGUAGAACUAUGGCCAAAUCUCCAUCAAUGCUUUGCUAAUUUCUGGGACUUAACUCGUAGAAUCUACAUACAGGGCUGGAAUUUAUUCAAAAUGCAUCUGAAGAAAUGACAUUUUAAACCGUUUCUUAAAAUAUCUUGAUAAAAAUUUCUGUAAAACAGAAUUUGAUAGGUUUAAAAACAUGACAGCAGGCUCCCGCGGCGGCCGGGACCUCGCAUCCCUGCAACGUGGCCGGGG